rnacentral:rRNA from 1 species
UACAGAGGUCCCGAGCGUUGUUCGGAUUCACUGGGCGUAAAGGGUGCGUAGGUGGUGAGGUAAGUCGGAUGUGAAAGCUCCAAGCUCAACUUGGAAAUGGCAUUGGAAACUACCUUGCUAGAGGGUUUGAGGGGGGACUGGAAUACUUGGUGUAGCAGUGAAAUGCGUAGAUAUCAAGUGGAACACCAGUGGCGAAGGCGAGUCCCUGGAAAACUCCUGAACACUGAGGCACGAAAGCUAGGGGAGCAAACAGG